rnacentral:rRNA from 1 species
AUUGAACGCUGGCGGCAGGCCUACCACAUGCAAGUCGAGCGAGCGGCGGACGGGUGAGUAAUGUAUGGGGAGUGCCCGAUAGAGGGGGAUAACUACUGGAAACGGUUGCUAAUACCGCAUACUAUCGGAUAACCCAUAUGGGAUUAGCUAGUAGGUGGGGUAAAGGCUCACCUAGGCGACGAUCGCUAGCUGGUCUGAGAGGAUGAUCAGCCACACUGGGACUGAGACACGGUCCAUGUUCUUACGGAGGCAGGAUUGGAGAAUUUUGCACGAUGCGCGCAAGCCUGCUGCAUCCAUGCCGCGUGUAUGAAUAAGGCCUUGGGCUUGUAAAGUACUUUCAGCCGGGAAGCGUUACCGGCAGAAGAAGCACCGGAUAACUCCGUGCCAGCAGCCGCGGUAAUAC